rnacentral:lncRNA from 1 species
ACACGAGUCUGCUUGGGAAGUUGAGCUCAUCUUUAAUGGGGUGCCUUGUCCCCUCCACAGUGGCCACAUGUCUCCUGCAGAUUCCAAAAUGGGGGCAGGUGUCGUGGACAGCAUCAGAUGAGGGGGGACCUGUUGGUCUCAGGGAGCGACCUACCUCAGCUGCCCCUCCAUGCAGGGGACCCCGGUCCCCACCCAGGUUUGCUCUUUAUAAACGGCCCUGACAGCAGGCGCUCUGCAAUGGGACAGUCCCAGCCUAGGCUCAGCCGCAGGUUCGCUGUGUGGCUUUGAGUGAGUCUCUCUCCCUCUCUGGCCUUGGUGUACCACCCUGUAAUAGGAGGCCACGGGGGCUUGGUGGUCCCCACCAUUCUCUCCCUCCUGCACGGGGUUGCAAUGAGGUCUCAGGGCCAGACAGACACUUUCUUGGCACCUUUUGAAGAUACCUGGAUGCUGGGCACCCUCCGCCCCGCCUGUCGGGGUAUUUGGGCAUGGAGUCAAGAGCAGGCUCUGGUGCUAAGGGUCCUGAGACUGGAGAACACACACCAAGGGUGGCUGCGGGGUCCACCCCCUGGUGCCGUCUGGGGCCAGGAGGCUGGGUCUGAACCCGGCACUGCCUCCUUUGGCUGUGCUCUGGCCUCUUGGGGCUCAGUUUCCCCACCUGGUAAACGGGCUAGUGGAGCCUUCCUCCCAGGGUCGGGGGAGGAGGGCCAGGCUGGUGGCAGGUCCCAGGGCUGCUCGGGAGCCUGGGAAGCUCCUGCAGGCGGCCACAGCCUGGAAGCUAAGUCCAGAAAUAGAAGGCCCGAGUCGGAGGCCCCAGAUGGCCAGGCUGCCCUGCAGCCCCGGGGCCGCGAGCUGGCAGCGCGGCCCUCCCUCCGGGAUCCUGUCGGCAUCAAUCACUUGGUGGCCUUGGGGCUAAUUUUACCUCCUUGGUUUUCAUGAAUCAUUUCCCAUCCGGGGGCGAGUGAGAGCAGGGAGACGGCUCUGCCAGCUGGUGCCCAGCGCCCGCCACAGUGGAUCGCCCGCGCCCGGCCUGCUCGAGUACCUUCUGCAGGGCCCUCUGCAGAGCAGGGCGUGAGGGCCAGAGGCCCCAAGGGCUGGCUCCUUCCAGCCCGACCGGUGCCUCCAGGUUGGCAUGACUUGACAUAAUGAGCCACCUCAGAUCCUGGGGGUGGCGCCUGGACUGAGUCUAAGGAAGUGGGAAUCGAUGGCUCCACCCUGGUGGUCCUUAGAGUCUGUUUAGACCCCAGGGUGGAAGGGUUGGCAGAGAAGGCCCGGGCCCCUUUGGCCCAGCCCCAAGAGAUUACAUGAAGAUUAUAGUUUGUAGUCACAGAACACCAGGGCCAGCGGGGCCUAAUGGAAACCCAAGCCUGACACCCCACUGGACAGAUGGGUAAACUGAGGCUCAGAGGGAAAAGGAUUUACAAGGUCAGUGCAUCAGUGGAAGAGGUCAGACUGAUAUUCAUUUGCUGAUGGCUCACUCUUUACUUCUGAUAACCCAACCUGACCCACAUUAUCUCCCUUUUAUGGAGGGGCAACUGAAGGCACAGGAAGUGAAAACUUCCCUGUAUUCCAGUCAGAAGUGGUAGAGCUGGGUUUGCACCCAGGAGCCGCGGACCUGCAUUUCCCGACCUCUAUGCAGAGCUGCGUCUUGCUGUGGAUGCCUGGGCUGCCUUUGCUCCUGCCCUCACCUGCCCCAUUCCCUCGGGGAGGGAGUCUCCAGGCUGCGGCUGAGCUGCACCUGAAGACUCCAACUCACCCGUCUGUCCUGAGCCCUGCCAGGUCCUGGGGGCUGAGGAGCAGCAGAAUAGGGACAGUCAAGGAGGCACUGAGACCCAAGAUGGCACCAGCAUGUCACCUGCGGCCAGCCUCUCAGGGGACAGCACCUGUGCAGCACUGCCACUCGGGUCACCAGCACAAAUGGCCAGCCCGGGCAGGGGACACACAGGAAUGACAGCUCCUGGAGACCUGGAGAGUGGGUGCCUCGCCGCCUGAGCAGGCCACCACCCAGCAAACUGUCCCUCUGCUCUGGUGCCUGCAAGGAGCUGCCACCCAAAGCCAAACAGCCACAUUUUCACAUGAAAUCUUCUGUUUCUUCAAAAUUGGCAAAAAUAAAAACUGGAGAAAAGAACAGCCGCUGCGCCACCCGCGCUUCCCUGCUCGCGCCUCUCACGGGUGUCUCAGCUCGAGCCAGCUCUCAUUGUGAUUAUCCCUCAGGGUCCCCACACAGGAACCCCACACUCCCUGCCCCGAAGAACUCUUUCUUCCUGUCCAGUUUGUCAC